ACUCAAAGGAAUUGACGGGGGCCCGCACAAGCAGCGGAGCGUGUGGUUUAAUUCGACGCAACACGCAGAACCUUACCUAGAUUUGACAUGUACCUGCAUACACGUGAAAGCGUGUAGCCUUCGAGGGUGGUACACCGGUGCUGCAUGGCUGUCGUCAGCUCGUGUCGUGAGAUGUUGGGUUAAGUCCCGCAACGAGCGCAACCCUUGCCUGGUGUUAUUUGUGUCACCAGGGACUGCCGUGGUCUAACCACGGAGGAAGGCGGGGAUGACGUCAAGUCCGCAUGGCCCGUACGUCUAGGGCGACACACACGCUACAAUGGCUGGAGGAAUGUGCUGCCAGGCAGCAAUGCCGAGCGAAUCACCAAGACCAGUCUCAGUGCAGAUUGGGGGCUGCAACUCGCCCCCAUGAAGGCGGAGUUGCUAGUAACCGCGUGUCAGCAAAGCGCGGUGAAUACGUACCCGGGCCUUGUACACACCGCCCGU
rnacentral:rRNA from 1 species